GACGAACGCUGGCGGCGUGCUUAACACAUGCAAGUCGAGUGGUAAGGCCCUUUCGGGGGUACGACGAGCGGCGAACGGGUGAGUAACACGUGGGUGACCUGCCCUCAGCUCUGGGAUAAGCCUGGGAAACUGGGUCUAAUACUGGAUAUGACUCCACGGUGCAUGUCGUGGGGUGGAAAGCCUUGUGCGGCUGAGGAUGGGCCCGCGGCCUAUCAGCUUGUUGGUGGGGUGAGGCCUACCAAGGCGACGACGGGUAGCCGGCCUGAGAGGGCGACCGGCCACACUGGGACUGAGACACGGCCCAGACUCCUACGGGAGGCAGCAGUGGGGAAGUCUUGCGCAAUGGGCGAAAGACCUGACGCAGCGACGCCGCGUGAGGGAUGACGGCCUGGU
rnacentral:rRNA from 1 species